AGAAUCAACGCUGGCGGCGUGCCUAACACAUGCAAGUCGCACGAGAAAGGGACUUCGGUCCUGAGUACAGUGGCGCACGGGUGAGUAACACGUGAAUAAUCUACCUCCGAGUGGGGAAUAACUGAGAGAAAUCUUAGCUAAUACCGCAUAACACUUACGAGUCAAAGCAGCAAUGCGCUUGGAGAGGAGUUCGCGGCAGAUUAGUUAGUUGGCGGGGUAAUGGCCCACCAAGACGAUGAUCUGUAUCCGGCCUGAGAGGGCGCACGGACACACUGGAACUGAAACACGGUCCAGACUCCUACGGGAGGCAGCAGUGGGGAAUUUUGCGCAAUGGGGGAAACCCUGACGCAGCAACGCCGCGUGGAGGAUGAAAUCCCUUGGGAUGUAAACUCCUUUCGAUCGGGAAGAUAAUGACGGUACCGAGAGAAGAGCCCGGCUAACUUCGUGCCAGCAGCCGC
rnacentral:rRNA from 1 species